rnacentral:rRNA from 1 species
GAUGAACGCUGGCGGCGUGCUUAACACAUGCAAGUCGAACGGUGAAGGCGGAGCUUGCUCUGCUGGAUCAGUGGCGAACGGGUGAGUAACACGUGAGCAAUCUGCCCCUGACUCUGGGAUAAGCGCUGGAAACGGCGUCUAAUACUGGAUACGAGCUGCGAAGGCAUCUUCAGCAGCUGGAAAGAAGUGCGGUCGGGGAUGAGCUCGCGGCCUAUCAGCUUGUUGGUGGGGUAGUGGCUCACCAAGGCGUCGACGGGUAGCCGGCCUGAGAGGGUGACCGGCCACAUUGGGACUGAGAUACGGCCCAGACGCCGACGGGAGGCAGAAGGGGGGAAUAUUGCACAAUGGGCGGAAGCCUGAUGCAGCAACGCCGGGUGCGGGAUGACGGCCUUCGGGUGGUAAACCGCUUUCGCCUGUGACGAAGCGUGAGUGACGGUAAUGGGUAAAGAAGCACCGGCUAACUACGUG